rnacentral:rRNA from 1 species
UUUUAAUCUUGCGACCGUACUCCCCAGGCGGAAUGCUUAAUCCGUUAGGUGUGUCACCGAACAGUAUACUGCCCGACGACUGGCAUUCAUCGUUUACGGUGUGGACUACCAGGGUAUCUAAUCCUGUUUGCUUCCCACACUUUCGCACCUCAGCGUCAGUAUCGAGCCAGUGAGCCGCCUUCGCCACUGGUGUUCCUCCGAAUAUCUACGAAUUUCACCUCUACACUCGGAAUUCCACUCACCUCUCUCGAACUCUAGACCAGUAGUUUUGGAGGCAGUUCCGGGGUUGAGCCCCGGGAUUUCACCCCCAACUUUCCGAUCCGCCUACGUGCGCUUUACGCCCAGUAAUUCCGAACAACGCUAACCCCCUCCGUAUUACCGCGGCUGCUGGCACGGAGUUAGCCGGGGUUUCUUUACCAGGUACUGUCAUUAUCAUCCCUGGCGAAAGAGCUUUACGACCCUAGGGCCUUCAUCACUCACGCGGCAUGGCUAGAUCAGGCUUGCGCCCAUUGUCUAAGAUUCCCCACUGCUGCCUCCUGUAGGAGUCUGGGCCGUGUCUCAGUCCCAGUGUUGCUGAUCAUCCUCUAAAACCAGCUAUAGAUCGUAGACUUGGUGGGCCAUUACCCCACCAACUAUCUAAUCUAACGCGGGCCGAUCUUUCACCGAAAUUCUUUCCCCCGAAGGGCGUAUACGGUAUUAAACCCAGUUUCCCGGGACUAUUCCGUAGUGAAAGGCACGUUCCCACGCGUUACUAACCCGUCCGCCACUAAGCCCGAAGGCUUCGUUCGACUUGCAUGUGUUAGGCCUGCCGCCAGCGUUCGUUCUGAGCCAGGAUCAAACUCU